UCUCCGUUGGUGAACCAGCGGAGGGAUCAUUACUGAGUUACCGGUCUACAACCCUUUGUGAACAUACCUCACUGUUGCUUCGGCGGGCAGAGGUCCCUGGCGGAUCUCUCCCGGCAACGCCCUCGCGGGCGGAGCGCCCGCCGGAGGAUACCAAACUCUAUUUUAACGACGUUUCUUCUGCGUGGCACAAGCAAAUAAUUAAAACUUUUAACAACGGAUCUCUUGGUUCUG
rnacentral:misc_RNA from 1 species